rnacentral:lncRNA from 1 species
CCAGAUUGAAACCCUGUUCCACCUUUCACCUGGCCCGUUGCAGAUUCAUCCCAGCCAACCUGUUGAACGAAAAGUUUUUGUAUCAGCAGCAGAAAAGUGGUAAAUGACGCAGAACAAUGCUUGAAUCAGGGCCGGUCCUAGGCCAUGGCCAAAGGUGCGGUGCCCUAGGCCCAUCUCAAGUAAGGUCACAAUAUAUCUUUAUACCUAAAUAAAUUAUAAAAAUAUGUGCAGAACAUAACAUUACCAAAUGUGCAGGGGGCCUUUGCUUCCUUGGUGAUAGGCUGCAAAUAAAGAGGCAUUCCAAAUCAUUCCUAAUUUACAUCAGAUCAUAAGAAAAACAUUAAAUACACCUACCAACACUGCACCAUUGCUUGACACAAGUUGUUGUGAUGGAUCUAAUAUUUCGUCGGUGAGGUGUGGUUCAGAUCAAGAGUGAUGAGGAGCCUUUGGCUUCCAUCAUCCAUGACAGGGAGAGGAUUUGUGGCACGUAGUCUCACGACAGGAGUGGUAUCACCUGCCGACUUUGUCUCUUUUGACACUAUUUAUGCUGGAUUUGUCUUUUUUAUUUCUCAAUGUAUAUUUCGAUUUGGACCUGAAAUUUUUAGAGAGUUGUACAUUCGUGUGAUGUGAACAUCCACAAUUUUUUGAAACAUUUAAAAUUAAAUAUUUUGAAAUGGUAUCAUGGUAUUACCUAAGGGGUGGUAUCAUGUGAUAUUUUCCCCUCACAGCAUGCAAGUCCCUCACACGGCUUUUCACUUUGGCGAUUUUCAUACUUCUAUAUGUUUUAAAUGAAAAGUUUAAAUUAAGUUCUAUUUUCAUAUUCAUAUUUUUCGUGACCAGCACUUUCAAAUAAGAUUCAUUUUGAAUAUAUUUUGAUGACUUUUAAAAAAUUAUGUUAAGUUUCAGCUGUUGAAACUUAUUACGAGUGACAAAUAAAAUCACAUACUUUGAGCCUACGUCUGACAUAAAAAAUCGCUUAAAUUUUUUUAUCUUUGAAACUUGGUACAAGCGAUCGAGAAAGUUGGAAUUCAGAUGCAAAAUCAUAAGUUUCAACGAUUGAAACUUAAAACUUACUCUGCCCUUAUGUGGUAUUCAACUACUUCAUGAAUCGCGAGGCAAUAGAGCGACCGAGCAGGGCUUGAUAGGUGCGUGCCCCAGCGAAUUUCCGUCCAUGACAUUGCAAGAGAAUGGUGGUGUUCCCUCUUUGGCAGAGUACCACAUAGAAAGAAAAAGGAGUUGGUGGCAG